CGUACCUACAACAAAAUCAUCAAUGUCAAGGGAAGACAGAAGGACAAAGCCAAGCGGGAAAAUUGAAAUGUCAAAGCACAAAACAAACAAAGAGCUGGUGUCUUCCUACCCUAGUCUAGCUAACCAGAAAUUCAACUCUUCAUUUUCCCCACUACACAAUUAACAGAAGUGUCCACAAAGUUGAAAGUUGGAAAUUUUUUGAACAGAGAAAAAGAGAAAUUUAGAGAAAAGAACAGUAGCUAAGGGAGUUCACAUGUGGAUACUUGUCUCUGAUGAUCUUCCUAUUUAAGUACAUACGAAUGGGCCCUUAAGAAGAGAGGUAAGUUUGCAAACAUCUGCAAUGAAUGAG
rnacentral:lncRNA from 1 species